rnacentral:rRNA from 1 species
CCUACGGGAGGCAGCAGUGAGGAAUAUUGGUCAAUGGGCGCGAGCCUGAACCAGCCAAGUAGCGUGAAGGAUGACUGCCCUACGGGUUGUAAACUUCUUUUAUAAAGGAAUAAAGUGAGGCACGUGUGCCUGUUUGUAUGUACUUUACGAAUAAGGAUCGGCUAACUCCGUGCCAGCAGCCGCGGUAAUACGGAGGAUCCGAGCGUUAUCCGGAUUUAUUGGGUUUAAAGGGAGCGUAGAUGGGUUGUUAAGUCAGUUGUAAAAGUCUGCGGCUCAACCGUAAAAUUGCAAUUGAUACUGGCAGCCUGGGGUAUAGUUGAGGUAGGCGGAAUUCGUGGUGUAGCGGUGAAAGGUUUAGAUAUCACGAAGAACUCGGAUUGCGAGGGAAGCUUACGACACUGCCACUAACAUGGAGGAUGGAAGGUGUGGGUAUGAACAAGGAUUAGAUACCCGUGUAGU